CUUCCUUAUUUUUUUAACGUUAUUAAUGGACAGCCCGUAGACGAAAAAAGUGAUAUAUUAAAAAUGUUAGUUAGAACAUUUUUAUUUACAGUUGUAAAUUAUAGUUACAUUUAUUGUACUUCCAGCAUGACACCACGCAUGGAGGAAAGUAAGUGGUAUCAGCUCUUGAUAUUUUCUGUUGAGUAUUCAACAGUACUUGAAAAUCCAAUUCCGAUUGAGGAUCAGAUGAAUUUUGAUCCUGAUAACCCUCACCUUUGGGGAAUAUUUGUUCCAGCUGUAUGCGCUUUAAGACAUCGAAAUCUGAGGCUCUAUACAAGCUUGUUUUUUACAAAAUAAAAGAAAUUUUAGAUUUCUCUCCAGUCACCAUUAUGUCAGAUUUUGAACGAGGACUACAGAAUGCUUUAAAAACAACUUGGAGUGAAAGCUUGGUGAAUGGUUGCAGGUUUCAUUUCGAAGAUGCAAUCACCAAGCAAUUAGCAAUUCUUGGUCUUCAGAGGGAAUACCGCCCCCAAAUUCAAGUAUAGAAGUGGGCAAGAAAAGUUUCAGCACUUUAUCUUCUUCCUGCAAACAAGAUCUUGGUUGCUUGGGGAUCUCGAGUUAUUGAGAUUGCACAAUUUAGUCGCGAAAUCAAAAUCAAACUAUUUGCUUUUAAAAGGUAUUUUAAGAGUUAUUGGCUCAAUAUAGUGACCCCAGAAAGAUUCAGUGUUUAUGGCUUGAACCACAAAACCAAUAACAAUGCAGAGAGUCUCAAUAGAUGUUUGAAAUCAAACAUGGGUGAUCGACAUAGAGGAUUUUGGCAGUUUAUGAAAUUGCUUAACCAGCAUGUAAUAGUCCAUACAAUUCAAGAGCUUCAACAGCUUGCCUUCAAUCAGCCAGUGACCAACGCGAUUAUGGUGCAAUUGAAAAAAUGCGUUGUUUUGAGAAAAAACUUCGAGACGGAGUUUGGACAACUGAGAGAUUCCUAUCAACAGCAUCAUAUCUCUUUCAAAACUUCAAAGUAGUUGCUUUGGAUAAAAACUCAAUAAACGAGGUUGGUGAGAGUCUUCCUUUGCCAACUUCUACUUCAAAAGAGUCACCGAAGUGCGUUGUUUGUACCGUCAAUGAACGAAAUGCAUUAGUAAUGCCUUGCAGACAUUUUUUGUUUUGUCAUCCCUGCAUUCAACAAGUCCAAAAAAGCAACACAGCUCAUUGUCCCACUUGCGGAGGACCAAUAUCAUCUAUAAUUGAACCUUUUCAAUGAUUUAGUAAAAUUUUCCCUUUUACCUAUAUUUUCAAAACUAGAAUGUCACACAAUUGUUUAAAUUUAUUUUAAAAAAUUUAUUAUAUAAAAGCGGUAUAAUUUUUUUCCUAUUGCUCCGCCUGGAAUAAAAAAUAAUCAAUAACGUCAUUUUUUAGUUUACAUAAAUGACUUUAAAUUCCAUUUGGGCCUACAAGAUUUUCCGUAAGUUGGCGUAUUGUAUUGGUUUCAGUUGAGCAAACCCCAUAUUACGUUAAGGAUAAGUACUAAAUAAAUUCCAUCACCCUAGAAACAAUAGUCAUUUACAUGUUAAAGUUAUUGUAUAGAUAAAUGUAGCAUAAAAUUCUACAGCUGCUUGUCUAGCAAAAUUAAAUAAGUUUCCUUGAAGCAAGUGACAGUAUCAACAAAAGACUUAUCGUGAGGGUUAGUAUGUUACGAUUAGCACUUUCCUGUGCACAAGCGUGUUAGAAGCAACUUUUUCCUUUUAACGUUUUUUAACUAGGUUUUAACUUGUCUAGCUAGCUUUUAACUUGUUUAACUAGGUUAAAACUAAGAAGAAGAAAACGAGUGCUAAAAAAUUUUUGGCCGGGAUCAUAACUUGUUACAGUCAGGAAAAAAAUAUGUAGAAAUUUAACAAAAAACUAUACAAUUGGAAAGAGCUUGUCAAAAAAUAUGUGAAAACCAUAUGCUGAAAAUAUUUCCUUUCCAAGAUAACACCUUAUAGAUUAUAUAAAACACAGACCCAGAUUUUACAGACCAGCACAAAACAGCUAUAAAAAAGGAUUUUUCAUCCUUAAUUUGCUUUAUAAUAAAUAUGCAUUUUGUUUAAAGAGUUGCUAUUGAUAUAAAUUUUCUAUUAAAAGCUAGUUUCUAUUAAAUUUAUCACGUCCUUACUGUUGGUAGGGGUGGGGAAAGAGAGGAGAUAAUCGUGAGCGAUUGACGUCUUUUUUUUGACCAAAUGCUCUUAGUUUCACGUUAUAAAAAUUAAUUAAGAUUUUCUAUUCUCUUGACCACAAUUUUCUCCGAAAUGACCAACCUAACCUCAAAAUCUUUACGAUAUGGGCUUGUAUAUUUAUAGAAGGUUAUUGAUUGUACUUUUUAUAAAAAGUACAAUCAAUAACCUUUUAUACAUAAAAUAAAUUGU
rnacentral:lncRNA from 1 species